UCUGGCGGCAGUAGCGCGGUGGUCCCACCUGACCUCAUGCCGAACUCAGAAGUGAAACGCCGUAGCGCCGAUGGUAGUGUGGGGUCUCCCCAUGCGAGAGUAGGGAACUGCCAGAC
rnacentral:rRNA from 2 species